GAUGAACGCUGGCGGCGUGCCUAAAACAUGCAAGUCGAGCGAAUGGAUUGAGAGCUUGCUCUUAUGAAGUUAGCGGCGGACGGGUGAGUAACACGUGGGUAACCUGCCCAUAAGACUGGGAUAACUCCGGGAAACCGGGGCUAAUACCGGAUAACAUUUUGAACCGCAUGGUUCGAAAUUGAAAGGCGGCUUCGGCUGUCACUUAUGGAUGGACCCGCGUCGCAUUAGCUAGUUGGUGAGGUAACGGCUCACCAAGGCAACGAUGCGUAGCCGACCUGGGAGGGUGAUCGGCCACACAGGGACGGAGACACGGCCCAGACUCCUACGGGAGGCAGCAGUAGGGAAUCUUCCGCAAUGGACGAAAGUCUGACGGAGCAACGCCGCGUGAGUGAUGAAGGCUUUCAGGUCGUAAAACUCUGUUGUUAGGGAAGAACAAGUGCUAGUUGAAUAAGCUGGCACCUUGACGGUACCUAACCAGAAAGCCACGGCUAACUACGUGCCAGCAGCCGCGGUAA
rnacentral:rRNA from 1 species